rnacentral:misc_RNA from 1 species
UCUCCGUAGGUGAACCUGCGGAGGGAUCAUUACAGAGUUCAUGCCCUACCGGGUAGAUCUCCCACCCUAUGUUAUUAUUACUUUGUUGCUUUGGCGGGCCGUUAGGCUCCGGCCCGACUACCGGCCCCGGCUGGUAAGCGCCCGCCAGAGAAUACCAAAACUCUUUUUAUUAAUGUCGUCUGAGUACUAUAUAAUAGUUAAAACUUUCAACAACGGAUCUCUUGGUUCUG